rnacentral:piRNA from 1 species
UCCGAAUCUCAUUGUUGCCUGUUGGG